UUUGCGAUUUCUUCUCUUCAUAGCAUCGAGCCCUAACCCCAUUAUUUCACUCUCCCGUUGCGAUUUCUUCAUUUCACCUUCGAUCUCUUCAUUUCAUCUCUCUCAACUUUUUCACUUUCAAUUUUCCACUUCAGCGACAACCGACAACCUUGUUUCAUCUUCAUCAGCUCACUUUCACCUUCAACAGCAGCUCCAAUCGAUGUCAGGUACCACUUCAUCAGUUCAUUGCAUAUCAUCAGCUCCAGUUGAGUCCAGAUGAUGUUGAUGAUGAUGAUGAUGAUCUGUCAUAUGAUGUGUGAAGUUCAAUUUAGGAUGGAUUGAAAAUCAUUGGAUGAAGAAGACCAUUUUUUGCUAGAAUGUUUAUUAAUUAUUAUAUGAUUCCUUUUUUUCAUGAAUUUUGUUAUUUUGAUUUGUAAUCAGUUGUAACAAGGAUUCUAUUGAUGUUUGA